rnacentral:rRNA from 2 species
GCAGCAGGCGCGCAAAUUACCCACUCCCAGCUCGGGGAGGUAGUGACGAAAAAUAACGAUACGGGACUCAUCCGAGGCCCCGUAAUCGGAAUGAGUACACUCUAAACCCUUUAACGAGGAUCAAUUGGAGGGCAAGUCUGGUGCCAGCAGCCGCGGUAAUUCCAGCUCCAAUAGCGUAUAUUAAAGUUGUUGCGGUUAAAAAGCUCGUAGUCGAAUUUGUGUCUCGCGCCGUCCGGUUCAUCGUUCGCGGUGUCAACUGGCGUGUCGCGAGACGUCCUGCCGGCGGGUCGUUCGCAAGAGCGGCCCAACUGACCCCGCCGCGGUGCUCUUCAUUGAGUGUCGAGGUGGGCCGGCACGUUUACUUUGAACAAACUAAGGUGCUUAAAGCAGGCUGAAAUUUUGCCAGAAUAUUUUAUGCAUGGAAUAAUGAAACAGGACCUCGAUUCUAUUUUGUUGGUUUUCUGAACCUCGAGGUAAUGAUUAACAGGAACGGAUGGGGGCAUUCGUAUUGCGACGUUAGAGGUGAAAUUCUUGGAUCGUCGCAAGACGGACAGAAGCGAAAGCAUUUGCCAAAAACGUUUUCAUUGAUCAAGAACGAAAGUUAGAGGUUCGAAGGCGAUCAGAUACCGCCCUAGUUCUAACCAUAAACUAUGCCAGCUAGCGAUCCGCCGACGUUCCUCCGAUGACUCGGCGGGCAGCUUCCGGGAAACCAAAGCUUUUGGGUUCCGGGGGAAGUAUGGUUGCAAAGCUGAAACUUAAAGGAAUUGACGGAAGGGCACCACCAGGAGUGGAGCCUGCGGCUUAAUUUGACUCAACACGGGAAACCUCACCAGGCCCGGACACCGGAAGGAUUGACAGAUUGAGAGCUCUUUCUUGAUUCGGUGGGUGGUGGUGCAUGGCCGU